rnacentral:lncRNA from 1 species
UAAACUAAACUAAUAAAUUUCGUUCUGAGUUAGAAUCUUUGUCCAUUGCUUUUUCACUCCAAAACACUCUGAAGUUGAAGAUCGAUCGAAAAACUCUACGGAGGAAUAUCAUUUAAUGUCUAAAAAACUACAUAAUAAAUCAUACAUUUUUGAUGAUCGACAUCGGAUGAAGGUCCUCGAACUUUGCCACAGUAUUAAAGUUCAAUGGAAACUUUUGCUAAGAUCUCAAAGAACGAUUUUGAAGAAUUUUAGUAGUUCAUCUCCAGUUCAAUAAAAGGUAUCCAUUUUUGUCACCAUUUGAUCAGCCGUAUCAAAACGAUUUCCUCCAUGAUGCCCUAGACUCAGAAACAACAUGCUUAUUAUAUCAUAUUAUUUAAUAUAUGAAACUAUUAUAAAAUAAAUACUAUAUAUGUCCACUUGGGAAAAAUUAUUGUUUUUAUUGCAUAAAAAUAAGAUAUAUAUAAUUACAUUUCAUUAUAAUUAUGAGGGAUAAUCAAGUUAUUCCUCAUUUUUUCUGCAUUGAACAAUGACUUUUAAACAAAAAUAUAGUAUAAAAAUCCAUAAAA